rnacentral:rRNA from 1 species
AACGAACGCUGGCGGCAUGCCUAACACAUGCAAGUCGAGCGAGCCCUUCGGGUCCAGUGGCGCACGGGUGCGUAACGCGUGGGAACCGGCCCUUAGGUUCGGAAUAACUCUCCGAAAGGGGUGCCAAUACCGGACCAUGUCUUCGGACCAAAGAUUUAUCGCAUUUGGAUGGGCCAGCGUUGGAUUAGCUUGUUGGUAGGGUAAAAGCAUACUAAGGCGACGAUCCAUAGCUGGGCACAGAGGAUGAUCAGCCACACUGAGACUGAGACACGGCCGGGACUCCUACGGAAGGCAGCAGUGGGGAAUAUUGGACAGUGGGCGAAAGCCUGAUCCAGCAAGGCCGCGUGAGUGAUGAAGGCCUGAGGGUUGUAAAGCGCUUUUACCCGGGAUGAUAAUGACAGUACCGGGAGAAUAAGCUCCGGCUAACUCCGUG